CAUAACCUUUAGCCAUAAACAAAUAUUAAAGGCAACGCCUGCCCAGUGAACAAUUCAACGGCCGCGGUACCCUAACCGUGCAAAGGUAGCAUAAUCAUUUGUCUAUUAAUUGUAGACCAGCAUGAAAGGCAAUAUGAGGGUCUAACUGUCUCUUAUAAUGAAUCAAUUAAACUGAUCUUCUAGUAAAAAAGCUAGAAUCCCACCAUAAGACCAGAAGACCCUGUGAAGCUUAAACUAAACUAUUAAGACAAAUAAUAGCUACUUUCGGUUGGGGGCGACCUUGGAAAAAAAAAGAACUUCCAACAUACUAAUAACCGAACCACAUAGGCCCACAAGCCACACACUAAUGACCCAGCAGGACUGAUCAUUGAACCAAGUUACUCCAGGGAAAACAGCGCUAUCUUCUUCAAGAGCCCAUAUCAAAAAAGAAGGUUUACGACCUCGAUGUUGGAUCAGGACAUCCUAACGGCGCAGCCACUGUUAAGGGUUCGUUUGUUCAACGAUUAAUAGUCCUACGUGAUCU
rnacentral:rRNA from 1 species